AUCCAGCUAACCAGUCCCAAAUAGGACGAAAUGCACAUCCUUGAU
rnacentral:hammerhead_ribozyme from 1 species